AGCAGCCGCGGUAAUUCCAGCUCCAAUAGCGUAUAUUAAAGUUGUUGCAGUUAAAAAAGCUCGUAGUUGAAUUUCGGGAUCAAUAUGUCGGUCGUGCCUCGGUACGCACUAGCUUAUUGGUUUCUCCCUUCUGACGAACCAUGAUGUCAUUAAUUUGGUGUCUUGGGAAAUCAGGACUGUUACUUUGAAAAAUUAGAGUGUUUAAAGCAGGCUCACGCUUGAAUACAUUAGCAUGGAAUAAUGAAAUAGGACGUUUUGAUUCUAUUUUGUUGGUUUCUAGGAUCGACGUAAUGAUUAAUAGGGAUAGUUGGGGGCAUUAGUAUUCAAUUGUCAGAGGUGAAAUUCUUGGAUUUAUUGAAGACUAACUACUGCGAAAGCAUUUGCCAAGGAUGUU
rnacentral:rRNA from 1 species